GGUUAGACGAAGAAUCCGUAUAGAAUGAAUGUUUACAUUAGUUAACGUUCAAUUUUUGAAGUUUCUCUAGCUUUUUUGUUGGGUGAAAUCAGUAUAAGAAGCUCUUUCUUCUUUAAAAAUUAGUAGGAACUAAAAAACUUUGAUUUAAAACCAGGAUUAGAUACCCUGUUAUUCUCAGUUAUUCUUAAACAGGGUAGUAAAAGUUGUUCUUCAAACCCAAAGAUUUUGGCGGCACUUUAUCCAAAUAGAGGAGCUUGCCCCUUAAUCGAUAGUCCUCGUUUUAUCUUUCCUUCAUUUGUAAAGCUUGUAUACCGCCGUUGUCAGAUUACUUUUAGAGAAUGUUUUCAAGUUAAAAGACUUUAUAACUUCAGGUCAAGGUGCAGUUUAUAUGGGGGUGGAGGUGAGCUACAGUUUUCUUUAGAAAAUACGGAUUCUAAGCUUUGAAGCUAGCUGAAGGUGGAUUUACUAGUAAAGUAAUUUAAGUAAAAUUACUUGAAUAAGGCAAUAAAGUGUGUACAUAUCGCCCGUCACUCUCUUCUUAAGAGGAGAUAAGUC
rnacentral:rRNA from 1 species